rnacentral:tRNA from 1 species
GCGCCUGUAGCUCAGUGGAUAGAGCACCGUCCUUCUAAGUCGGGAGUCGCAGGUUCGAUCCCUGCCAGGCGCG